rnacentral:rRNA from 1 species
CGGACGGGUGAGUAACACGUGGAUAACCUACCUGUAAGACUGGGAUAACUUCGGGAAACCGGAGCUAAUACCGGAUAAUAUAUUGAACUGCAUGGUUCAAUAGUGAAAGACGGUUUUGCUGUCACUUAUAGAUGGAUCCGCGCCGCACUAGCUAGUUGGUAAGGUAACGGCUUACCAAGGCAACGAUGCGUAGCCGACCUGAGAGGGUGAUCGGCCACACUGGAACUGAGACACGGUCCAG